CCGAUCGAGAGUCACUGGUCGGCAGGUCCGGGCCGGUGCUUGAACACACAUCACGCAAGCUCCCUCGUCUCCUGAAUAUCCGUUUAAUCGUGGAUUUCUCUGACUGUUUUUAUUUGCCGUCAUCCGCCCUGCUGCUGCGUCCCUCACUACUUAUUGGAUCAUCCAACUCUUCACUUGCAGCUGAAGAAAAUUUACCUUCGUCUGACCCUAGGCUCAACUGGUUGCACAACACCGAGUGAGCAGUGGCGUCAGAGAGAACAACUCGACAUCAACCAACCGGACAUCGUCGGCUGCGGAUAUCUGUGGCUAGCAUUGACAGUACCGCGGUACUACAUUGAUACUUCACCAUGGAUGACUCGUUUACAAAACCGUGGGAGGAUGUGACGGAGUACUUCAGAGUAGACCCUGAACGAGGUCUUGCUAUGGAACAAGUCAGAAGUUACCAAGAAAAAUAUGGUCCCAACGAACUCCCGGUUGAAGAAGGAAAAACCCUACUUCAGCUGAUUUUAGAACAAUUCGACGACCUUUUAGUCAAAAUUCUGUUGAUGGCCGCUAUUAUUUCAUUUGUUCUGGCCUUGUUUGAAGAACACGAAGACGAACUUGAUCAGUUGACUGCAUUUGUUGAGCCUUUCGUUAUUCUACUGAUUCUCAUCGCCAAUGCCAUUGUUGGUGUCUGGCAGGAGCGCAAUGCUGAAUCCGCCAUCGAAGCUUUGAAAGAAUACGAGCCUGAAAUGGGCAAGAUUAUUCGAUCAGACAAAGCUGGUGUUCAGAAAAUCCGUGCUCGUGAAAUCGUCCCCGGAGAUAUCGUAGAAGUCUCAGUUGGUGACAAAAUCCCUGCUGAUAUUCGUAUCAUCAAGAUUUUAUCUACCACUAUUCGUAUUGAUCAGUCCAUUCUGACUGGUGAGUCCGUUUCCGUAAUCAAGCACACCGACCCCGUGCCUGACCCGAGAUCGGUCAACCAAGACAAAAAGAACAUUCUCUUCUCUGGCACCAACGUUGCCGCUGGUAAAGCCCGCGGUAUCGUCAUUGGAACUGGAUUGAACACCGCUAUUGGCAAGAUCCGUACUGAAAUGUCGGAAACUGAAGAGAUGAAGACCCCUCUCCAACAGAAGUUGGACGAAUUCGGCGAACAGCUGUCCAAGGUUAUCUCAGUCAUUUGCGUCGCCGUUUGGGCCAUCAAUAUCGGUCACUUCAACGAUCCUGCUCACGGUGGAUCAUGGCUCAAGGGUGCCAUCUACUACUUCAAGAUCGCCGUCGCUCUUGCCGUCGCUGCCAUCCCCGAAGGUCUUCCAGCCGUCAUCACCACUUGCUUGGCUUUGGGUACUCGCCGUAUGGCCAAGAAGAACGCCAUCGUGCGAUCAUUGCCCUCCGUUGAGACCCUUGGUUGCACAUCCGUCAUCUGCUCCGACAAGACCGGUACCCUGACCACUAACCAAAUGUCGGUUAGCCGCAUGUUUGUCAUGGACAAAAUUGCCGAAGACGGAAACCCCCUGCUCCACGAGUUUGAAAUUUCUGGCUCCACCUAUGAACCUAUCGGAGAAGUCACCAUGGACAGCAAGAAGAUCCGUCCCGGAGAUUUUGAAACUUUGCACGAGAUUGCCACCAUCUGUAUGAUGUGUAACGACUCUGCCAUUGAUUUCAACGAACACAAGCAAGCCUUUGAGAAAGUCGGUGAGGCCACUGAAACCGCCCUCAUCACUUUGGGUGAAAAGUUGAACCCCUUCAACAUCAGCAAAGUCGGACAAGAUCGUCGUACUGCCGCCAUCGUUGUCCGCCAGGAUAUGGACACUAAAUGGAAGAAAGAAUUCACCAUGGAAUUCUCUCGCGAUCGCAAGUCUAUGUCAUCUUAUUGCGUCCCCCUAAAAGCCACUCGCCUUGGAAACGGCCCCAAGAUGUUCUGCAAAGGUGCCCCAGAAGGUGUUUUGGAUCGUUGCAGCCACGUUCGUGUUGGAGCCCAGAAGGUCCCAAUGACCCCAGCCAUUUACAACAAGAUCAUCGAAGUCACCCGCCAAUACGGUACCGGUCGCGACACUCUGCGUUGCCUCGCUUUGGCCACUUUGGAUACCCCUCCUAAGAUCGCUGAUAUGGACAUCUCCGACUCCAACAAAUUCGCCUCGUACGAAGCUAACAUGACUUUGGUCGGUAUCGUCGGCAUGUUGGAUCCCCCUCGCAAGGAAGUUUUCGACUCCAUCGUUCGCUGCCGUCAGGCCGGUAUUCGCGUUAUCGUCAUCACUGGUGACAACAAAGCUACCGCUGAAGCCAUCUGCCGCCGUAUUGGUGUCUUUACUGAGGAAGAGAGCACUGAGGGCAUGUCUUACUCUGGUCGUGAAUUCGACGAUCUUUCCGUUGAAGAACAGCGCAAAGCUGUCGGCAAAGCCCGUCUCUUCUCCCGUGUCGAACCUUCCCACAAAUCCAAGAUCGUCGAGUACCUUCAGAGCAUGGAUGAGAUCUCUGCCAUGACUGGUGAUGGUGUCAACGAUGCCCCUGCCUUGAAAAAGGCCGAAAUUGGUAUUGCUAUGGGUUCCGGCACUGCUGUCGCCAAAUCGGCUUCCGAGAUGGUUUUGGCUGAUGAUAACUUCUCCACCAUCGUUGCUGCUGUUGAGGAGGGUCGCGCCAUCUACAACAACAUGAAGCAGUUUAUCCGUUACCUCAUCUCUUCCAACAUCGGAGAGGUCGUCAGUAUUUUCUUGACUGCUGCCCUUGGCUUGCCCGAAGCUUUGAUCCCCGUCCAGCUUUUGUGGGUCAACUUGGUCACUGAUGGUCUGCCAGCUACUGCUUUGGGUUUCAACCCCCCUGAUUUGGACAUCAUGAACAAACCACCCCGUCGCGCCUCUGAGGGUCUCAUCACUGGUUGGUUGUUCUUCCGUUACAUGGCCGUCGGUACUUACGUCGGUGCCGGCACCGUUGGUGCUGCCGCUUGGUGGUACAUGAUCAGCCCUACUGGACCUCAUCUAUCCUACUACCAGUUGAGCCACCACUUGCAGUGCACUCCCGAAAACGAGGCAUUCAAGGGAGUUGACUGUGCCCUCUUCCACGAUCCCCACCCCAUGACUAUGGCUCUCUCUGUCUUGGUGACAAUUGAGAUGUUGAACGCUUUGAACAGCUUGUCAGAAAACCAGUCUAUGCUGGUCAUGCCACCUUGGUCCAACAUUUGGCUGAUUUCGGCCAUCGCUCUUUCUAUGACUCUCCACUUCAUGAUUCUCUACGUGGAGAUUUUGUCGACCGUCUUUCAGAUUUGCCCGUUAACCUUGGAUGAGUGGAUCGCCGUUAUUAAAAUAUCUCUGCCAGUCAUCCUGCUUGACGAAGUGCUCAAGUUCUUCGCUCGCAAAUACAGCGACGUUAUUGGAUGUUAAAAGAAGCCAACCAUCGGAAGCCUUUUUCGCACAUUCUUCUGAUUUCCUGAUUUUCACCAAUCCGACCUUCAACGUCCCCUGCAUCUCAAACCGGACAUUUGUCCCCAAAUAUAUCCCAAUUCUAGGACUUUUCCCUCGAUAACUGUACCCUUGGCUCCUACUUCAGCUAUAAUUUUUUCCCCUCCCUUUGACUCUGCAAUCCCGCCUCUCUCUUUUUUGUUUUCUCCUGCUGAAGCAAAUGGACACGUAAACUACAUUUCGUCACAGGUGUAACCUCUCCGGUCAAGAAGGAUUAAACAUCAUCCGAUCCAGAGAUGGGCUGCGCGCUCGAGUGACUCCACCCUUCUUGCGACAGCAGGAGUGUAUCUUCUUGUUCACCCUGCUGUUAACUUGCUGUUAUGUGUGAAUCCCUUUUUGUUUCUCUCACUCCUGCUUUCCCAUUUUCAAUUUUUCUUUACUCUACAAAAACAAAUUUUGUUCGGUUGGGUCAAGUAUGGAAGGGCCUUGCAAGCAAACAUUAGCUGGUUUCGCCCACCUUUUUUCUUUGUUUUUGUUGUCGUUUCAGCGCCUUUCCCUAUUCAACAAUCAGUCAUCACCGUUUGACAGAAUUUGAUCCUUUUAUUUACACAUGUGUAGUGCCUUGCGCAUAUGAAAGAAACUUCCGUGUAGUCGAGAUGAAACGCCUGAAAACAAUCGAAACAUGAGUAGUCUGAUAUUGAAUGAGGGAUUCGAGUUUUUCAAAAAUUUUACCGCGUCAAAAUCGUGCGUCUUAUCCCCCAUGUGGAUAGCUCAUUCACACCCCUUCUCUUCCAACUUUUACCUUCCUAAAAAUUUUAAUCACGAUGUCACCAGGUCGUUUAAAUACUUUUUAUGUGUGCAGUUGACUCUUUCCCUCUGUUCCCACCUAAAGUAAAGUCAUGUGGCCUCUUCUGCUCUCUAGUCAAAACUUCAAUAAACAAUGUCAUUAAGAAAAGAUCGACUACCACUGGGUAGUUGGCCUCAACACCUCAAGCUCCAGUUCGGGGUGAAGCUAAGGCAGGCGCUUUUCUGAAGCGUUACAAAUUUCUUAUCCACCCAAUAUUUCUACUGUCUCCACCCCAACUCUAUAAAAGUUGAAGAAAUAAAAAAUGGUGCCAACCAAUAA
rnacentral:misc_RNA from 1 species